AAUGAACGCUGGCGGCGCGCCUAAUACAUGCAAGUCGAGCGAGAAGACGUAGCAAUACGUUUGUAAAGCGGCGAACGGGUGAGGAAUACAUGGGUAACCUACCCUCGAGUGGGGAAUAACUAGCCGAAAGGUUAGCUAAUACCGCGUACGCUCCUUGGACUUCGGUUCAGGGAGGAAAGCGAUACCGUGGGUAUCGCGCUCUUGGAUGGGCUCAUGUCCUAUCAGCUUGUUGGUGAGGAACGGCUCACCAAGGCUUCGACGGGUAGCUGGUCUGAGAGGACGAUCAGCCACACUGGCACUGCGACACGGGCCAGACUCCUACGGGAGGCAGCAGUAAGGAAUAUUGCGCAAUGGGCGAAAGCCUGACGCAGCGACGCCGCGUGGGGGAGUGAAGGUCUUCGGAUUGUAAAACCCCUUUCGGGUAGGGAGAUGGAACGAGCAAUCGUUCGGACGGUACCUCCNGAAGCAGCCACGGCUAACUUCGUGCCAGCCGCCGCGGUAA
rnacentral:rRNA from 1 species